rfam:Helianthus annuus linkage group 13, whole genome shotgun sequence.
GUGGAUGUGAUGAUUAUUUUCCCGAAUGAUCGAAUCUGAAAUAACUGAGCGCUCAAUUCAUGUUUCUCCUUUUGGUGAAAUUCAAGCAAGAAAUCUGAUCCAU